rnacentral:lncRNA from 1 species
AAAAAAUCAUAAUAAACGGUGAAACGAUUUGUAGCCGUUCUGCAUUGCGAAACUAUUGGCAAAAUAAGGUAAUAUAUUCAUCUUUAUUGCUUUACUUUUAAUUGUAUUUACAAAGACUAUCGAGUAAUACAAUUUGAUUUUUGUAUUAUGGUAGCGAGUUGUUUAUUUAUUUGUGCUACUCCUUUCACUUUUGUCCUCCCAGAGUUAGACAUAAUCUGUUUUCUUUUAAGUAUUGUAAAUGAGGAUUGUCUGAGUUUUCUCAGUGCAAAUUCAUCUUUUGUCGAGAAACAAGAAAAACAUGUAUCAAUCCUGCCUGCGUGUGGUUGAUUAUAUUAUACCGGAAUGACUCUUAUUAAAUAAUACUGAACGAUGAUGAUAAUCACAUCUUACAACUGUUAGAAAUAAAUGUGGACACCAUCUUCACAGAUUGUGAAAAAAAUAUAAUAGAAAAAGAAAAGUGAUAAACAAUUUCCCUGUGUUCUUCCCUAAUCUAAAUUUGUAAUGUUUUAUUUUAAUAUUUUCUUUGAAAUAUAUAAUUCAUUUGGAAAUAUAUUUUUACUUGAAACCAUCUUUUUCCUCUACUUUUUUGUACUCGUUGACUUACAUGACACAUAAUCUAACAAAGCCGACUUAACAAAAUGUUACAUAUAAAAAUAAGUACAUAUUAAUUAUAUUUUACAGUCAAUAAAUGUAAAAAUUGUACCAGUGAACUAAUGUGUUUGAGGUCAUCAGUUGCAAUAACAUAUAUUUCUACUGUCCAAAUUACUGCAUUGUUCUAUAAAUAAAAAUUCAAUACUUUAGUAUGUAUGAUUGUUAUUAACGAAUUUAAAUAUCAUAUUUGACCAUUAUACUUAUGGUAAAUAUGUAUUUCUUGAAAAAGAUUUAUUUUUGCCCGUUUUUUUUUUUUUUUGGUGGUAUUUUGAUUUUUUUAAGCGGAUCUAUAUAAUCUAAGAGUUUUUAAUUUCCCGUCAAGAAAACAGAUUAAGAAUUAGUGCAUCUCUUUGAGAAAUAAGUGUCAACAAGGUUAAAUUAAUUAUUUAAUAAACCACCAACACAUGGUAACAAUUGGAUUAUGGUUGUGGCAAUCCAUGUUUUUAUUCCGUCUUUACAACAAAGGAAAAUAAAUGAGACAGUUUUAUAUAAAUAUCUGUAAUAUUUUAUUUGAAACUUGAAGAUUCACACAUUCGUUUUUAUAGAG